rnacentral:rRNA from 1 species
AGGACGAACGCUGGCGGCGUGCUUAACACAUGCAAGUCGAGCGGAAAGGCCCUUCGGGGUACUCGAGCGGCGAACGGGUGAGUAACACGUGAGCAACCUGCCCCUGGCUCUGGGAUAGCCUCCGGAAACGGGGAUUAAUACCGGACAUGACCCUUGACCGCAUGGUUGGGGGGUGGAAAGUUUUUUCGGCCAGGGUGGGGCUCGCGGCCUAUCAGCUUGUUGGGGGGGUGACGGCCCACCAAGGCGACGACGGGUAGCC